ensembl:lncRNA
CUUAUUAAUUGACUCGAGAACACUUACCUGGAUAUCCGUGACCUCCAAGUCUUGUGUGUCCGUCGAGGAGUCUGCCUUCUUCCUCUUGCUCGGGUUGGCGUCUUCCAUCGUGCACCGGACGAAGUAGUCGUCAAUAAAGUUCUCAAGGUCCUCCACUGAUGUCGUGGACGUAUCUUCUCCAGAGUGUGGGUCUGCAGAGCGGGGAUGGCUUUGGUUUCCAGGUCCUCCAUGAAAAAGUUACUCAUUAUGGCUGAAAGUGGAUCUUUUUUUCAACUUUAUUUUACCAGCAUUAAAACUUUGUCUGCAGAGAGAAAAGAACGACUCCGUUUUUUGCCAGACUGGAGGAUGUUGGAGGGAGUCUGUUAAUCUCUCUGGACCUGACAUUUGAAAACCUCCACCUCUCCUCACCCUCCCAGCCCACUGAUGUGAGGAAAUCCAGCUCUGAACAGACUGAACUCCUAAAUCCCUCCUGGAAGCUUCACCCUGAACAGACAACUGCAACGCUGUGGUAACGGGCAGAUUACAGG